rnacentral:sRNA from 1 species
AAGUCGUAACAAGGUUUCCGUAGGUGAACCUGCGGAAGGAUCAUUAUUGAAUGAAUUCGAGUCUUACGGUUGUCGCUGGCCUCUCGGGGCAUGUGCACGCCCGGCUCAUUUCCAUCCUUCACACCUCUGUGCACUUUCCCAUGGGUCGACAUGAUUCGGAAGUCUCGAGAGAGACGACUGGAUUUUUUUGGCCUGUGUGUUCUACAACAUACACCUGUCUGUCUCAGAAUGUAUACUUGUCAUGCAUGAAUGCAUAUAAUACAACUUUCAACAACGGAUCUCUUGGCUCUCGCAUCGAUGAAGAACGCAGCGAAAUGCGAUAAGUAAUGUGAAUUGCAGAAUUCAGUGAAUCAUCGAAUCUUUGAACGCACCUUGCGCUCCUUGGUAUUCCGAGGAGCAUGCCUGUUUGAGUGUCAUGGUAUUCUCAACCCUCCUGUGGUUUUUGUUUUUGCAAAGUCUGCAGGCUUGGGAUUGGACUUGGAGGUUUUAUUGCCGGGCUUCCCUCUUUCGAAGCUUGGCUCCUCUGAAAUGCAUUAGCUUGAAUGAUUUUUACCCAAGCAUGAUCCAGCGUGAUAAUUGUCUACGCUGCCUCAUCGUGGUGAAACAACCUUGGUUGUUUUCGUUCAGGCUUCGAACUGUCCCCUCCGGAGACAAACUUUAUCUGAACAUCUGACCUCAAAUCAGGUAGGACUACCCGCUGAACUUAAGCAUAUCAAUAAGCGGAGGAAAAGAAACUAACAAGGAUUCCCCUAGUAACUGCGAGUGAAGCGGGAAAAGCUCAAAUUUAAAAUCUGGCAGCUUUGCUGUCCGAGUUGUAGUCUGGAGAAGCGUUUU